GUCUAUGGUAGCUGUGCGCGGGAGACCUUCGGGUCUGCCGGUUCCGUGGUUUCCGGUUCGCCAACCUGCGUACAGCUGCCACCCUA
rnacentral:antisense_RNA from 1 species